GACGAACGCUGGCGGCGUGCUUAACACAUGCAAGUCGAACGGAAAGGCCCUGCUCUUGUGGGGUGCUCGAGUGGCGAACGGGUGAGUAACACGUGAGUAACCUGCCCUUGACUUUGGGAUAACUUCAGGAAACUGGGGCUAAUACCGGAUAGGAGCUCCUGCUGCAUGGUGGGGGUUGGAAAGUUUCGGCGGUUGGGGAUGGACUCGCGGCUUAUCAGCUUGUUGGUGGGGUAGUGGCUUACCAAGGCUUUGACGGGUAGCCGGCCUGAGAGGGUGACCGGCCACAUUGGGACUGAGAUACGGCCCAGACUCCUACGGGAGGCAGCAGUGGGGAAUAUUGCACAAUGGGCGGAAGCCUGAUGCAGCAACGCCGCGUGCGGGAUGACGGCCUUCGGGUUGUAAACCGCUUUCGCCUGUGACGAAGCGUGAGUGACGGUAAUGGGUAAAGAAGCACCGGCGAACUACGU
rnacentral:rRNA from 1 species